rnacentral:lncRNA from 1 species
CCCCAUGGGCAUACGGGUCCCCACCCACAUUCCUCAUAUCCAUAUAAACCGGGUGCGACCCGUAAAGAUCCAUAUUCAAAUUAAUAGCUGAUUGAUCCGUAGUCCAUAAAGUAUACGGGUCAUUCGGGUAGAGUUUAAUCCCAUGCGGCUGUGAGUUCUCACCAAGACCAUACAACGACGCCGUUUUGGGUAAUGUUGUUGAGAUUUCAAUGUAUUGGUCUUUGAAGACUAGUGAGUUGGAUCCGUCGGAUGAUGAGUUGAAGAUUGUUUGGCCGUUGGAUUUUCUUCUGACGGCGAAUGAGAAUGGGUCCGGGUGAAAGGUUGUUGUGAUGGUGUUGGUGGUUGUGUUCUUGGUAAAAGGUUGUAUGGUACUUCCCAUCGUUGGUUUUGUGCGUCGGUUAUGUGUACCCUUAAACGGUCGUCGGUUUCAUGCCUGAAAUUUUUUCAACGACAAAUGUUACUCCUACUGGAUUAUACCAAUAAUCAUAAAUUAUUCUAUU